rnacentral:rRNA from 1 species
GAUGAACGCUGGCGGCGUGCCUAAUACAUGCAAGUCGAGCGAACAGACGAGGAGCUUGCUCCUUUGACGUUAGCGGCGGACGGGUGAGUAACACGUGGAUAACCUACCUAUAAGACUGGGAUAACUUCGGGAAACCGGAGCUAAUACCGGAUAACAUGUUGAACCGCAUGGUUCAACAGUGAAAGACGGUCUUGCUGUCACUUAUAGAUGGAUCCGCGCCGCAUUAGCUAGUUGGUAAGGUAACGGCUUACCAAGGCAACGAUGCGUAGCCGACCUGAGAGGGUGAUCCGCCAACCCGGAACUUGGACACGGUCCCGACUCCUACGGGGGGGAGCCGUAGGGAAUCUUCCGGAAUGGGCGGAAGCCUGACGGAGCAACGCCGCGUGAGUGAAGAAGGUCUUCGGAUCGUAAAACUCUGUUAUUAGGGAAGAACAAAUGUGUAAGUAACUAUGCACGUCUUGACGGUACCUAAUCAGAAAGCCACGGCUAACUACGUG